AUACAGAGGGUGCGAGCGUUAAUCGGAAUUACUGGGCGUAAAGCGCGCGUAGGCGGCAUAGUCAGUCGGAUGCGAAAGCCCCGGGCUUAACCUGGGAACUGCAUUCGAAACUGCUAAGCUAGAGUUUGGUAGAGGGCAGUGGAAUUCCGGGUGUAGCGGUGAAAUGCGUAGAUAUCCGGAGGAACACCAGUGGCGAAGGCGACUGCCUGGACCAAAACUGACGCUGAGGUGCGAAAGCGUGGGGAGCAAACAGGAUUAGAUACCCUAGUAGUCC
rnacentral:rRNA from 1 species